rnacentral:tRNA from 1 species
GAAGUGUAUAAUUGGACAACCGACUCGAAAUCAGUUUGCGGGCAACCGCACGAGGGUUCGAAUCCCUCCCGCUGCGCCA